UCUAAGGGUCCGAAUGGUAACCG
rnacentral:siRNA from 1 species